ACAUAACUCAGUGCCUAAACGCAGCAGCAGCAGCAAUCAGAACAAGAAUAAGAAGAUGGAAACACUCGAGGCAGAUGAUUGAAGUCAUUUGGUGUGUAUAUCAAAGGAGAAAAGGACCCAGGCAAAGAAAACCAUACUAAAGGACCCGCAGAAUUCUCUAGAAUGGGUGGCAUUUUCCAUCACCAGAGCCAUCUCUCAGUCUCAGGAAAUGAGUGCCAUCAGCCAAAGGCAGCCUCCUAUCUCUUGCCUUUGUCUGUGCAGAGCUUCCUAGCUCACCCUGCAGCCCGCUCUCCCGGCACCCUCCACAGUCCUGAGGAGCAGCUUCGUUUAUCUUUCAGUUAUGCUUCUGGGGUCAGAGCCA